GGCAGGAAUUGUGGGCUUGUGUUUAUCUUGCCUGCCGAGAAUUUUGGCUCCGAAGUCCCGGCGCAGCCUUCCCGGCUCUUAUUUCUGAAGCAGCACAUGUCUGCGCUGGGAAGGUCCAAGUCUUCCCAUUUUCCCCUCCCACCCCUGUUCACUGUCCUGUUUUUAAAAUUUUGUGUUUUUCCCCCCCUGCGAACUGUGACAGUAGAAGAAUCCGGGGAGGGAAGCGUGUGUAAGUGAAUGGGGGAAAAUGUCGAUAAACAGCAAGAAAAGUUGUGGCAGACCCUCUUACUACUACAGACUCCUCCGGAGGUCCCGGCUUCAGAGGCAGCGCAGCAGAUCCCGGAGUCGCAACAGGCCGCUGAGCAGGGAGUCCCCACCAGAGAGGACUGGGCAGAGAAGGGGGAUGCCCAGCGGGGGGCUGGAGAAGAACCCCAGCAUGGAGCCAGCUGCCCCAACCCCAUUCCGUGUCACAGGGUUCCUGAGCCGCCGACUGAAAGGCUCGAUCAAAAGGACAAAGAGCCAGCCCAAGCUUGACAGAAACAGCAGCUUCCGGCACAUCCUACCUGGCUUCAGAAACGUGGACAAUGAGAGAUCCCAUCUAAUGCCGAGGCUGAAGGAAUCACGCUCCCACGAGUCACUGCUCAGUCCCAGUAGCGCGGUGGAGGCCCUUGAUCUCAGCAUGGAAGAGGAGGUAGUCAUUAAGCCGGUGCACAGCAGCAUCCUGGGGCAAGACUACUGCUUUGAGGUGACAACUGCAUCAGGUAGCAAAUGCUUCUCAUGCCGGUCCGCCGCAGAACGGGACAAGUGGAUGGAGAACCUACGGAGAGCUGUGCAUCCCAACAAGGACAAUAGCAGGCGAGUCGAGAACAUGCUCAAGUUAUGGAUUAUUGAAGCAAAAGAUGUGCCUGCCAAGAAGAAGUACUUAUGCGAACUGUGCUUGGAUGAGGCUCUAUAUGCACGGACAACGUGCAAGUUGAAAACGGACAAUGUCUUUUGGGGGGAGCACUUUGAGUUCAACAACCUCCCAUCGCUUCGGAGCAUCACCAUCCAUUUGUACAAAGAGACGGACAAGAAGAAGAAGAAAGACAAGACCAACUUCAUUGGACUGGUCAGCAUCCCAGCAGCUUCCGUCACAGGGCGGCAGUUUGUCGAGAAGUGGUACCCUGUGGUCACACCCAACCCUAGCAAAGGCAAAUCUGGAGGACCUAUGAUCCGCAUCAAGUCACGCUACCAAAGUAUGAGCAUCCUUCCCAUGGAAAUGUACAAGGAGUUUGCAGAGUACAUCACCAACAACUACCUUGCUCUCUGCUCAGUCCUAGAGCCAGUGUUGAGUGUGAAGAACAAGGAAGAGAUGGCCUCAGCUUUGGUCCACAUACUACAAAGCACUGGAAAGGCCAAGGAUUUCUUGACUGACCUCAUGAUGUCUGAAGUGGACCGCUGUGGUGAAAACGAGCACCUUAUUUUCAGAGAGAACACCCUUGCCACAAAAGCAAUCGAGGAAUACCUCAAGCUGGUGGGGCAGAAGUACUUGCAAGAUGCCUUAGGUGAGUUUAUCAAGGCUCUGUAUGAAUCAGAUGAAAACUGUGAGGUGGACCCCAACAAAUGCUCGUCCUCAGACCUCCCAGAGCAUCAGAGCAAUCUGAAGAUGUGCUGCGAACUGGCAUUUUGCAAGAUCAUCAACUCCUACUGCGUGUUCCCACGAGAGCUGAAGGAGGUGUUUGCCUCCUGGCGGCAGGAGUGCAACAGCCGCGGCCGGCCCGACAUCAGCGAGAGGCUAAUCAGCGCGUCCUUGUUCCUCCGCUUCCUCUGCCCGGCGAUCAUGUCCCCGUCUCUCUUCAACCUGCUGCAGGAAUAUCCCGACGAUCGCACUGCCCGCACUUUGACCCUCAUUGCCAAGGUCACGCAGAACCUGGCCAACUUUGCCAAGUUCGGCAGCAAAGAAGAAUACAUGUCAUUCAUGAAUCAGUUCUUGGAACAUGAAUGGACGAACAUGCAGCGAUUUCUGUUGGAGAUCUCUAAUCCCGAGACGCUUUCCAACACGGCGGGCUUUGAAGGGUACAUUGACCUGGGCCGGGAGCUGUCCACUUUGCAUUCUCUGCUCUGGGAGGUCAUAUCACAGCUGGAUCAGAACACAGCAGCCAAACUUGGACCGCUGCCACGCAUUCUGAGGGACGUCAACACGGCUCUCAGCAACCCGUCCUGCGUGCAAGUCUCAGUCAGCACAGAUCAUGCCAUGUCAACGCCGAACGCCGGCAACAGCAUCUCGAUGGGGCUGCAGAAGAUGGUGAUUGAAAAUGAUUUAUCUGGUCUGAUAGAUUUCACACGGUUACCGUCUCCAACCCCUGAAAACAAGGACUUGUUUUUUGUCACAAGGUCUGCGGGGGCCCAGCCCUCGCCUGCCCGGAGCUCCAGCUAUUCAGAGGCCAAUGAGCCCGAUGUGCAGAUGCCCAACGGCAGCAAGAGCCUCUCCAUGGUGGACUUGCAAGACAAUCGAAUUUUGGACAGUGGGGCCACCAUACCAGGGACGGCCGACUCUCUGAAUGACAGUCAGUCUUCCAUCGGGCAGGUCCCGGGUGUCUGGAGCACACGAACUCAGCAGAACAAUGUGUCCGGCAUGGUCACCGUACGUAGGGUGGGCCAGACCGCAAUGACGCCCAAUGCUGAGAGCGCCCCAGGCAGGCCCCAGCUCUUGGCUCCCCUCUCCUUCCAGAACCCAGUUUACCAGAUGGCGGCGGGGCUGCCACUCUCUCCCCGGGGCCUGGCAGACUCUGGGUCUGAGUGUCACAGCUCGCUCAGUUCUCACAGCAACAGCGAGGACUUGGCAGCUAACAAGCACGGCUUCACCAACCCUGCCGCCACCGAGGACUUCAACCGGCGAGCAGGGGAAUUGGCCCGCCGGCAGCUCUCACUAACGGACAAAGCCGGGCAGCCAACAAUGCCCCGGCAGAACAGCGGCGGCCCCCAGAGGCGAAUAGACCAGCCGCCGCCGCCGCCUCCUCCGCCUCCCCCCAUUACUCGGGGCCGGACGCCACCCUCCUUACUGAACACCAUGCAGUACCCAAGGCCCUCCAGCGGGGGCAUGCUCUCCUCCUCACCGGAUUGGCCGGGCAGUGGAGCACGGCUCCGGCAGCAGUCCUCCUCCUCCAAGGGCGACAGCCCAGAGAUGAAGCAGCGCACUAUGCACAAGCAGGCCCCUUCUCCUGUGAACCCCAAUGCCCUGGACCGCACGGCCGCUUGGCUGUUGAAUAUGAACGUGCAGCUCUUGGAAGACGAGAGCAGCGACCCCGAGCCCAAGCGCAGGGAUAAGGGCCGAACUAAAGACGAGCUCAGCCAAGGGGAAAAGUAUCAGCAGGACGUGGUGGUCUUGCAAGACAAGCUGCGCAUCUCCAACAAGAAGCUAGAGGAAUAUGAAGCUCGCUUCAAGUGCCAGGAGGAGACCACCCAGAAGCUGAUGCUGGAAUAUCAAGCAAGGCUGGAGGAGAGUGAGGAGAGGCUGCGCCGGCAGCAGGAGGACAAGGAGAUCCAGAUGAAGGGAAUCAUCAGCAGGCUGAUGUCAGUGGAGGAGGAGUUGAAGAAAGACCAUGCAGAAAUGCAGGCGGCUGUGGACUCCAAGCAGAAGAUCAUAGAUGCACAGGAGAAACGCAUAGCCUCACUGGACGCAGCCAAUGCCCGGCUAAUGAGCGCCCUCACGCAGCUGAAAGAGAGGUACAGCAUGCAGACACGUAACGGGAUCUCCCCCACAAACCCAACUAAAUUGCAGAUUACAGAGAACGGCGAAUUCCGAAACAGCAGCAAUUGCUAACCCACAGGAGUGGCUGCUGCAGGAGAAAGAGAGAGAGAGAGUCUGGCCCGAGAGAGCACGCAGCAGCAGCAGCCGCCGCAGGCGGAGGGUAUGCAUUAGGAAAAAAAAUUACCCAAAACCAAAGCAGGCCACUUUCUGGAGUACUGUCCUCUUUUAAGUGGGAGUGGGUGCUGCGUGGGAAGUUUACCACCCCGAAGGCCCGAAAGGGGAUAACCGACAAGAACAGCAUCCUCCGAAAAGUCUCUCCCCUUAUCAGAGUCGCUGGGCAGCUGUAAGCCAGGAUUAGCCGCUCCUAACUGCUUGCUCAUGGCUUAGUGGAAAGGGUCACCUUCACUCACGGCAGGGCUUUGCGCUACUAACCUCCAACCGCCUCGUAGCUUGGGGUUUGCUUUCAGUCAGUCCUGAUGAGCCCCCUCUCCUCAGUGUCUUGUCUGUUACAAGACCAGGGAAGGACGACGUGUAGGGGAACUGACCAUUCCACCCUGUAAGAGAACACAGUUGGUACUUUGGUGUGUAGAAUCUGAAAGGAACAGGACACUCUUGAAAUCUGUGUGGCUUCAGAAAAGUUUCUCUAAGUUGCCUGGUGUUAAGCAUGGGCCAGCACCAGUGUGCAGGCCAGUGCACACUCUGCACCCAGACCCACAAAUGUGGACUGUGACAAGAAAGAACAUUUUUCCAAGGAGCUGUUGUCUCAAUUAAAAAAACCUGAAGCCCUCAAAUCUGCACUGCUAUCCCACCCAGGACCGAAUGUUCUCCUAUUCUCAGACAAUCAUUUUAUUUUGCUGCACCCAAAUCUCUCCAAAAUACAAAAAGAACUGACAUUUAAAAAUGGGCACCAGUGAUUGUCAACGUUAAGAGUUUCCCUUCCUAACGCCACCUGCCUAGCUCCCCAAAUACACCAGCUCAUCUGUAGGAUGGAGUAUUUUAAAUGCACAAUGCCGUGGAAGAUUGUAUCAAACAGACCGGGUAGUGGGCACAGCUCAGGCCCUCAAGCCGAAAGCCCAGCCACCUAGGGCCCUGCACAGCGCUCCAAGUUAUUUGGUACAGAAUUUUAAUUACGCAGACAGUCACCGUGGCCAGAAGCCCACUCCAAGGAUCUCAGGCCAAAAGACUGCAUAAAUUCACCAAGCGGUUGCUCUUUGUCCAAGGCUGGAUAUGUGCCCUUCAGCAGCUAUUUCUAAAAAUGUCAGGGAGCGGGUUCUGGGAGGAGCAUCCUUUUCAGGGGGGCUCCUCUUGCAUGGCGAGACUUCGCUUGUAGCCACUGCUGUCAGCCGAGGUCAUGUGAGUUUAUUAUGGUGGGUGAGAUGGUGUUGCGGAGAAGAUCCGGCUGUGCCCGGGUUUUGGCUCCCCUCUCUCUAACUGCACUUGCAAGCUGAGUGACCCAACGCAGCCCACCAUUUAAGCACUUGGUAGAUGUCCACAGAUGUCCCAUACUCCUCUGACUGCCUCCCUGUUCUUUGCUGCAAUGUUUGGUGUCACUUGGGCUGUGUGGGGAAGAGUUUGCCAAAGCCAGACGAGCAGCUUGACCUCAGCUGCCCCCACCGCCAGACAGCGUGGACCUUCAACAGAGUCACAUCCAUUGACAGUUUGCCAUGGAUCCACCCCCGGUUCAUGGCCAGAGGUCUUUAAAAACUGAUCCAAGUUCCAUCCAAUGUCUUAGGGCUUUAAAGGUCUGAAAGGUUUUUGUUUUGUUUUUCUAAAACCUGCUGCAAUUGGGGGAGAGAGAUCCCCUUGUUUUGUUAUUUGUACAGCUGUAUGUGGGUGAGUGUGGCGGAGUGCUGUUAACCGCCCGUCCCGGACGUGGUCCUGUUGGCCCAAGAUAGAUGGUCCUGUAGCCAAUAAUCUGGUUCUUUCUCCGUUCUUGUGCUUUCUGCCGUAAGAACUUGUUAUACAAUAUAAGGGAAAAAAAGUGUAAUUAAAAAAAAUACACAGAUCUUUCUGAAUAGAAGUCGUACAGAUUUUCUUUGGUGGGGAAAAAUGCUCCCAAGUGUAUGAUUAUAACGUGCAAGUUUUGCCCAAUUGAUACAGUACAACAUGAACUCAGUUUUGUAGCUCUCUGCUGUUUUGGGCAGGAUGUGUUACUAGCAGGCGCAGGGGGACGGGGUAGAUCUACGAAAAUACAAAUCCAGACCAAAGUUCAAAGAUGCACUGUGGCUGUGGGGGAGAGGGAGAGAGACCAGUUCCUGGGUAUGUCACCUCUGAUUCACUUUGGAAUCCAAGAAAUCCCAAGAAGUACUUAAGAGUCCUGGUUCCACUACAGCCUUUUCUCCCACAUCUGAGAUGGCAGCAUUCAUGCCAGGAAGGCACAGCAGAGCCUUUGGAAGGCUGAUAGUGGCCCAGUCCUGUGUAUGGAAUGAAUGUGAGCUGCACGUGUGUCCCAGGUAUUGUACAGGGAAGGUGAUGAUCAAAACACUUUUGCCCACUCCAGCUUAGGAGACUUGUGCGUGCAUCACUUGUUGAAUCAGGAACGGCUGGCGGUACUCAGACGUGCAUCAGAGUGUAGCUGUGUGAGAUGAAUGUUGACAUCCUGGAAUAGCUGGAUGUGCCUAAAUAGUUUUUUAAGCACCACAAGAGUUGACUGAGAUGCUGCAGUGGACCAGGAUGGAUGGAGAGACCAAAAAUGCUGGUGCAUAAUCGAUCCAAAAAGUAGGUAAUGAAUAUCAAGACUGACUUUUUUUAACAGGGAUGCAGCAGAGACAUUCUGAUCCAAAGGUGGGUGCUCUGAUGCAUACUUCCUUGUUCAUACCUGUGUGACCCAAUUCUUUGCAACAGAUGGGCAAUCUCUCCUAUCCACUGGAAUAAUGGGAAGACCCCAAGAACACAAGGAUGGGCGACUGGUUCCAGCACUUCCGGUUGUGGAGGCAGCAGGUCUCCUUCUGUUUAGAUGUAAAGCUGUGCAGCUGGUCUUUUCUGUCAUUUGCCAAGAUGUUCCAACAACUGGCUCGUGCUAAAAUUCAGAUUGGAGAAAGAAGUGCUACAGGUUCCGGGACAGCAAGCAUCAAAAAGUUAGCAGGCCUCACAUUCCCCUAAAAAAUGUCUCCUCCCUGCCUUUAAAAAAACAACAAUGUGAAUUUUUGAAGAGUAAAACUCAACACCUGUGAGCAGGGUGUAGACGGAAGUGUGAAGGUUGGUGUUUCCUGUCCCACAAACUCGCGCAUCUUCACUGAUGUUGGGGUGCCAUUAAAGGUGUGUCCUGCUCCUUGAAUAACCUCCCUAGAUUCUUUAUACCAAUAGGCACUUGGGAGGCCACGCACAUUGGUCUAUUCUAUUCAGUACAUAAGUGCUUUCAGACUGGGGAGGGGGCAUGUCAAAUAAGUGGGGGGGCAGGAGUCCUUGGCAAAGAACUAUAAGGAAAAAUAGGCAGCUCCAUAAGCCACAGCAAGUGAAACUUCUAGCUAAGAUGAAUGCAGCCUGUUCUUGCUUCAGAAGGACAAUUUCCAGUGUCACCUAAACAGACUCACCAAGGCCAAGAGAAGCUGUAAAUGUUCCAUGGUUAGGUGUUGUGCCUCCAUGCAAGACCCCCUACGUCUCCCUAUCUGAUUUGUCCCCCUUGGCUGAGUCACUGUGUCUUAAGAUAUCCCCCCCCCCCCCCCAGUAUAUUUGCCUAAACCAAUAUUUGUUCCUGGUGAUGCCGUUACAAAAUGUUUUAUACUCUCUUAUAAAGGAAACGAAGCAAAAAAAAACUUUUGUAAGUUUGUUUUAAGAAAAUUCCGAAGCCGAGCAGGAUCACCCCGCCACCAAGUCUCCUCCAGUCCGUUUUGAAAGAAGAAAAUGUAAUAAUGUACAGAGAAAGUCGUUGGUGUCAAGAGGGGGGAAAUGAUGUGGCUGUGCAAUUUAUGUACAUUUGCAAUUAGAAAAAUGAUUAAAGAUUUAUUUAGCUAUUUUAA